ACAACCAGCCUCAGUUGGUAGAGAAUUGUGAUAACAGCGCAAAGGUCAUGGGUUCAAAUCCCAGGGAAAGGAUGUG